GUUGCUUUGUUUGUUUCUUACAGAAAGCGGUCUGUUUUCAUAUGCCAAAACAAGUGUAGGGUGAGAUUUCGUAUUGUAUUUUUUAUUACAUGUGAUGUUCUGAACUCUUAAAAAUACUCGCAUCUUUUAUUUUUUCAGACCAGAAAAAUGGCCGAGCCUCCACAGCCAGGCCUCAGACCACGGUGCCGAGGCGAUCUGACGGAGUCCACCAGGACGAGGAGAAAUUCAUACAGCAAGGCAGAGUGUGGUAAGCAGUAGAGAUCGACAACAUGGCGGACGGAUAUGAGGACGGAGCCAUGAAGCCGAUGUUACACAGAAUGAGC